rnacentral:misc_RNA from 1 species
GUGUACGAAGAAAAGGACACGGCCUUCGGAACCAGCAACGUAUAACGUUAGGUUAAAAGCGAAUUUUUCCGACGGUGACCCGCAAGAAGACACGUCCAGCCGAAUCUUUCUAACGGACUGGUCGCUUUAUACGAUACUUUAGGCUACACCGGCUACAUCGCCUAGAACGAUUAGCAGGAACGGUACUUGAAUUUUAUCCCAGCUGAAAAAAA